rnacentral:rRNA from 1 species
CUUUACUGUAACUUGAAAUUGAAACUGGACUUUAUUUGCGCAGUAUAGGUGGGAGGCGUUGAGAAUAUUCUUGCGGGAGUAUCGGAGCCAUCAGUGAGAUACCACUCUUGUAAUGUUAGGUUUCUAACUUUGUAUCAUUAUCUGGUCAAAGAACAGUUUCAGGCGGGCAGUUUGACUGGGGCGGUCGCCUCCUAAACGGUAACGGAGGCGCACAAAGGUUUCCUCUGAACGGGUAGAAAUCGUAUCUAGAGUGUAAAGGCAAAAGGAAGCUUGACUGUGAGACCUACAAGUCGAGCAGGGACGAAAGUCGGUCUUAGUGAUCUGACGGUGCUGAGUGGAAAGGCCGUCACUCAACGGAUAAAAGUUA